rnacentral:hammerhead_ribozyme from 1 species
AUCCAGCUGACGACUCCCAAAAAAGACGAAACACACUUCCUGGAU